rnacentral:rRNA from 1 species
GCCAACACUAGCCCAAAAAACCAAUCAAUACUAUUAUCAAAUAAGUAUAUAUAUAUAUAUUAAAUCAUUCACAAAUAUAAAAGUAUAGGUGAUAGAAAAUUUAUUCUGGCGCUAUAGAUAUAGUACCGCAAGGGAAAGAUGAAAAAAAAAACUAAGCAUAAAAUAGCAAGGACUUACCCCUAUACCUUCUGCAUAAUGAGCCAGCUAGAAAUUAUUUCGCAAAGAGAACUAAAGCCAAAUACCCCGAAACCAGACGAGCUACCCAAAAACAGCUAAAAGAGCACACCCGUCUAUGUGGCAAAAUAGUGGGAAGAUUUUUAGGUAGAGGUGAUACACCUACCGAGCCUGGCGAUAGCUGGUUAUCCAAGAUAGAAUCUUAGUUCAACCUUAAGCCUACCCGCAGAACCACUAAUCCCCCUGUAAGCUUAAUUGUUAGUCUAAGGAGGGACAGCUCCUUAGACACUAGGAAAAAACCUUGUAUAGAGAGUAAAAAUUCCAGCCCUCAUAGUUGGCCUAAAAGCAGCCAUCAAUUAAGAAAGCGUUCAAGCUCAACAUUAAACACUCAAAGAAAUUCCAAACACUUAACUGAACUCCUAACAUCACAUUGGAUUAAUCUAUUACACUAUAGAAGUAAUAAUGCUAGUAUUAGUAACAUGAAUAAAUUCUCCUACGCAUAAGCCUAAAUCGGAUCGAAAACCUCACCGAUACUUAACAGCCUAAUACUAAUAAUUAUAAACAAGCCAGUAUUACUAAUACUGUUAACCCAACACAGGCGUGCUAUCCGGGAAAGGUUAAAAGAAGUAAAAGGAACUCGGCAAAUAUAGCCCCGCCUGUUUACCAAAAACAUCACCUCUAGCAUUACUAAUAUUAGAGGCACUGCCUGCCCAGUGACACAUGUUUAACGGCCGCGGUACCCUGACCGUGCAAAGGUAGCAUAAUCACUUGUUCUUUAAAUAGGGACUUGCAUGAAUGGCAACACGAGGGUUUAACUGUCUCUUACUUCCAACCAGUGAAAUUGACCUGUCCGUGAAGAGGCGGACAUAAAAUAAUAAGACGAGAAGACCCUGUGGAGCUUCAAUCUACUAGUGCAAUCAUAAUAACAUAAACCUAUGGGUUUAACAUAUCCUGACCCUGCAUUUAAAAUUUUGGUUGGGGUGACCUCGGAGCACAACUAAACCUCCGAAUAAGCUAUGCCAAGACUGAACAAGUUAAAGCGAAUUAAUAUUUACAAUUGACCCAAUAAUUUGAUCAACGGAAUAAGUUACCCCAGGGAUAACAGCGCAAUCCUAUUCCAGAGUUCAUAUCGACAAUAGGGUUUACGACCUCGAUGUUGGAUCAGGACAUCCUAAUGGUGCAGCAGCUAUCAAGGGUUCGUUUGUUCAACGAUUAAAGUCCUACGUGAUCUGAGUUCAGACCGGAGCAAUCCAGGUCGGUUUCUAUCUAUUUUACAUUUCUCCCUGUACGAAAGGACAAGAGAAAUAAAGCCUACUUCAUAAAGUGCCUUCCUUCCAUAAAUGACCUAGUCUCAAUUUAACAAAAAUCUACACAUACAGCCCAAGAACAGGGCUU